UAAAGAGCUCGUAGGCGGUUUGUCACGUCUGCUGUGAAAAUCCAAGGAACCGCUUGGACUUGCAGUGGGUACGGGCAGGCUAGAGUGCGGUAGGGGAGAUGGGAAUUCCUGGUGUAGCGGUGGAAUGCGCAGAUAUCAGGAGGAACACCAAUGGCGAAGGCACAUCUCUGGGCCGUAACUGACGCUGAGGAGCGAAAGCGUGGGGAGCGAACAGGAUUAGAUACCCUGGUAGUCCACGCCGUAAACGGUGGGUGCUAGCUGUGGGCCACAUUCCACGUGGUCCGUGACGAAGUUAACACAUUAAGCACCCCGCCUGGGGAGUACGGCCGCAAGGCUAAAACUCAAAGGAAUUGACGGGGGCCCGCACAAGCGGCGGAGCAUGCGGAUUAAUUCGAUGCAACGCGAAGAACCUUACCAAGGCUUGACAUAUAGAGGAAAAGUGCAGAAAUGCACUCCCCGCAAGGUCUCUAUACAGGUGGUGCAUGGUUGUCGUCAGCUCGUGUCGUGAGAUGUUGGGUUAAGUCCCGCAACGAGCGCAACCCUCGUCCUAUGUUGCCAGCACGUUAUGGUGGGAACUCAUGGGAUACUGCCGGGGUCAACUCGGAGGAAGGUGGGGAUGACGUCAAAUCAUCAUGCCCCUUAUGUCUUGGGCUUCACGCAUGCUACAAUGGCCGGUACAGAGGGCUGCAAUACCGCAAGGUGGAGCGAAUCCCAAAAAGCCGGUCUCAGUUCGGAUUGAGGUCUGCAACUCGACCUCAUGAAGUCGGAGUCGCUAGUAAUCGUAGAUCAGCAACGCUACGGUGAAUACGUUCCCGGGCCUUGUACACACCG
rnacentral:rRNA from 1 species